UACAGAGGUCUCAAGCGUUGUUCGGAUUCAUUGGGCGUAAAGGGUGCGUAGGCGGCAGCGCAAGUCAGGUGUGAAAUCCCGGGGCUCAACCCCGGAACUGCACUUGAUACUGCGUUGCUAGAGUACUGGAGAGGAGACUGGAAUUUACGGUGUAGCAGUGAAAUGCGUAGAUAUCGUAAGGAAGACCAGUGGCGAAGGCGAGUCUCUGGACAGUUACUGACGCUGAGGCACGAAGGCCAGGGGAGCGAACGGG
rnacentral:rRNA from 1 species